rnacentral:rRNA from 1 species
AUGAUUACGUUCGUGGACUCGGCGGCGGGGGAGCGGGAGAGGGGGGACGGCCCGCGCUGCCUCGACCCGCAGCUCUGGCACGCCUGCGCCGGCGGCAUGGUGCAGAUGCCGCCGCCCGGCUCCAGGGUCUACUACUUCCCGCAGGGCCACGCGGAGCAUGCGCAGGGCCAGGCCGGCGCCGUCGACUUCCCGCCCGGUGCCCGGCUGCAGGCGCUCGUCCUCUGCCGCGUCGCCGCCGUCCGCUUCAUGGCCGAUCCGGACACCGACGAGGUCUUCGCCAAGAUCCGCCUCGUCCCCGCCCGGUCCCAGGACGCCGCCGACGCCGACGACGCCAUUGCCGCCGCCGCCGCGGCCCAGGAGGACAAGCCCGCCUCCUUCGCCAAGACGCUCACGCAGUCCGACGCCAACAACGGCGGCGGCUUCUCCGUGCCGCGCUACUGCGCCGAGACCAUCUUCCCGCGGCUCGACUACUCCGCCGACCCGCCCGUCCAGACCGUGCUCGCCAAGGACGUGCACGGCGUCGUCUGGAAGUUCCGCCACAUCUACCGCGGCACGCCGCGCCGCCACCUGCUCACCACGGGGUGGAGCUCCUUCGUCAACCAGAAGAAGCUCGUCGCCGGGGACUCCAUCGUCUUCAUGAGGACCGAGAACGGGGAUCUCUGCGUCGGCAUCCGCCGCGCCAAGAAGGGGCGCAUCGGCGGCCCGGAGCUGCUGCCCCCGCCCUCGCCGGCGGCGGGCGGCAAUUACGGAGGGUUCUCCAUGUUCCUCAGGGGGGAGGAGGACGGCGGCGGCAACAAGAUGAUGGGGGCGAGGGGGAAGGCCAGGGUCAGGGUGCGGCCGGAGGAGGUCGCCGAGGCGGCCAAUCUCGCCGCCAGCGGGCAGCCGUUCGACGUGCUCUACUACCCGAGGGCGAGCACGCCGGAGUUCUGCGUGAGGGCGGCCGCGGUCAGGGCGGCGAUGCGCACCCAGUGGUGCCCCGGCAUGAGGUUCAAGAUGGCCUUCGAGACGGAGGACUCGUCCAGGAUCAGCUGGUUCAUGGGGACUGUGUCGGCCGUGCAGGUGGCCGACCCCAUUCGAUGGCCCAAUUCACCUUGGAGACUUCUUCAGGUGACCUGGGAUGAACCGGACCUGCUGCAGAAUGUGAAGAGGGUGAGCCCAUGGCUGGUUGAGCUGGUCUCAAACAUGCCGGCCAUUCACCUCGCUCCGUUCUCGCCGCCCCGGAAGAAGCUCUGCGUUCCGUUCUACCCCGACCUCCCGGCCGACGGCCAGUUUCCAGCCCCGAUGUUCCACGGAAACCCACUCGGACGCCGCGGCGGCGUCGGUCCGAUGUGCUAUUUCCCGGACGGCACUCCUGCAGGCAUACAGGGAGCCAGGCAUGCUCAAUUUGGUAUACCUUUAUCAGAUCUCCACCUUAACAAACUGCAGUCGAGUCUGUCACCGCACGGGCUUCACCAGGUCGAUCACGGCGGGCAGCCGCCGAGGAUCGCCGCUGGGCUCAUCAUUGGUCACCCGGCUGCGCGAGACGACAUCUCGUGCAUGCUCACCAUUGGCAGUCACCAGAACAACAACAACAACAAGUCAGAUGUCAAGAAGGCUUCACCCCAGCUGAUGCUCUUUGGGAAACCCAUACUCACUGAGCAGCAGAUCACUUUAGGUAACUCUGGGGGUUUCUCUCCAUCUGCUGCUAGGAAGAGCUCCUCUGAAAUGAGCGCCGAGAAGUCGGCGAAUAACUCUGAUCUUCCAAGCCCGCAAAGCAACCAGAACGGCACUACGAAGAACUUGUCCUGCGGAGGAGUUCCAUUGUGCCAGGACAACAAGGUACUCGAUCUCGGGCUGGAUAUCGGGCACUGCAAGAUAUUCAUGCAAUCAGAGGACGUCGGGCGCACGCUUGAUCUCACCGCUGUUGGUUCUUAUGAAGAGUUAUAUCGCCGGCUUUCUGACAUGUUCGGCAUGGAAAAAGCCGAGCUGAUGAGCCAUGUUUUCUACCGUGAUGCAGCCGGGGCGCUCAAACACACUGGAGAUGAACCUUUCAGCGACUUCACGAAGACGGCGCGUAGGCUGACGAUACUUACGGACACGAGCGGCGACAGCAGCGUAGCGAGCUAA